rnacentral:rRNA from 1 species
UACGGAGGAUCCAAGCGUUAUCCGGAUUAUUGGGUUUAAAGGGUGCGUAGGCGGCUUAUUAAGUCAGGGGUGAAAGACGGUAGCUUAACUAUCGCAGUGCCUUUGAUACUGAUGGGCUUGAAUGUACUUGAGGUAGGCGGAAUGUGACAAGUAGCGGUGAAAUGCAUAGAUAUGUCACAGAACACCAAUUGCGAAGGCAGCUUACUAAAGUAUGAUUGACGCUGAGGCACGAAAGCGUGGGGAUCAAACAGG